AUUAAAUGAUUAUUCAUCAACACUUUAAAUGAAGCUGUUUCAGCACUUAUAUAUCAUAAUUCAUACUAGUAUUCCGUUUAUCUCAAUUUAGACAUUUCUUUUCAAAUUUACCUUUAUCAAUGACUCAAUUUUCAAUUUAACUUAAUUCCUAUUUAUUUUUUUAAACACACUUAAAUUUACUUUCUAUCUUUUUUCACCUAAUCCUUAUUUAUCUACUUUAAUUUUAACUUUAACUUUUUGUUUGCUAUUUAAAAUAUUUCUUAUAUUAAUGUUAACUUACUUUCUAUUUAUGACUACAAUAAUUUUACUAUAGAACAUACUAUAUAUACACAUAUCGUGAAACAAACAGUUAAAUUUAAAAUCCAUUGUUUAUAACACAAGUCCGAAAUUAUGCUCCGUCCUGGUCCAUCUUUCUUCUUUUUCCGUACUCCUUUCUCCGCCUCCUUUCUCUGCACUCCUUUUUCUGUUUUCCUUUCAUCAUUCUUUCUAUACUUUCUCUGUUCUCCAUUCUCCUUUUUUUUUGCCGUUCGUCUUCACAACAUAUUUUCCACAAAUCUUUCUUUUCUAACGUCAAGAACGCUCGUACGCUAAAUAUUAUCUUCUUGGUUGUUUUGGAUUUUCUGUUACUUUUAAGCUUCAUCCACCGGAAAUCGUUUCUUUUCCUCCACCACUUUUUAUAGUUGAUUAAGUCGUUACCAAAAAUGUGUAAAGUUUACUAACCUUUAAAUAAAAACACAAAGUUCUGUUCAGCUGGAAUUUACAGAUAGUACACCAACUGAACAAACUUGUUUAUAUAGUACCCGGAGAAAUUAUCCCAUUAUUCAAAAUAAAGUCAUAAAUGUCGGUACUUAACUUUUGCAUCUUUGAAGUGACUGAUGAAUUAUCCUUUUUUAAACUCUUAA
rnacentral:lncRNA from 1 species